AUUAAAUAAAAAAGAAGAAUCCGGAAAACACAAUAUCCUGGAUAAGACUCAUCCGCUCUAGAUAAUAUAGACUCUAUAGAUCUAGAACAAAAAUUACAAAACUAGAUCUAGUUGAUUAUUAAAUUCGUGCAUGGUUAGAUCUACUCUUGCGAAAGGGACUAAUUAAUGCAUUAUAUAGAUCUAGCUCUAGAAAGAUAGAUUAUAGUGUAGAAAAUAUUUAUAAUUAGAGUGAACUGUUUCAUCAAGUGAAACAAUAUCACUGUGACUAGAUUAAUGACAAAAUACGGAUAUGAAACCGGACUUUGAAUUACGCGGAACGCUUGAACCGGAAGUUACGCCCUCUCGUGGAUUGUGCCACCUAUGUAAACAAGAAAAGAGAAAGUUUCAACAACAUUGAUUUUCGCUGUUGCGAAUGAAUACGCUGUGUUUCCAAGGAAGCUGGUCAUAAACAAGUUGAUGAAAGAUAAUUGGAGUCAAACUGUGAGGAGUCUUGUUUAUAAAGAGGAUUUAAAAUAAGAAGUUUGAUCCCAGGCAUGCACUGUAUGAAAAUUACUAUAUGAUCAAGAUCUUCAUAUUGUACGAUGAUGACAACAGACAACGUGUAGUUCAGCUUAAAGCAAAAAUGCCCCUCAGACUCAAUACCAAGUAGAACCAUGUUGACUUCGACCAGGCUUCAGAUUUUGCUGACACUGUGACAGAGCCAAACAGGAGGGGAACCAGUCUACAGCAUUCCUUCUGUGAUAAAAUUAUUAAUUCCCUUAUUUGUGAUAUUUUUAGAAGAAUUACUUCCCUUUAGUUGAAGAAUAUUGUAUAGGAAUUGUUACUUUAAUUAACACAUUCUACAAAAUGGCUAGUUUCUUCAGGAGAAAGCGAAGUCUUAUAUUUAAGCUCAUACUAGGAAUUCCCACAUUGUGGUUUUUAAUUGUGAUAUUUUUAAGUUUUCAAAGUACUGAUAAUGACAGCUCAGAUGGCGAUAAAGGUCCUGACAAAAUUAAACGUGAUAUAAAGAACAACAAUGGAGGAGGAGGAGGAGUUUUUGACGGAUUUCAAAAUCCAAUUAAUAAAAUUAAUAAAAUAGUGCAACCUUUUAAUCCAUUUGUUAAUAAGGAAGUGACUAAAUAUGGAAAUAGGGUAGAUUCUAAUAGAGGCAAUGGUGAUGUCGUAGGAAAUCCAGAUGAUAGAAUUGUACACAAAGAUUACGAUGUGUCAGGAAAAUUUAGGAAUUCAGACAGUGG